GGGACUAUGGUCUAGUGGCAAAACGUCCCCUUGUCACGGGGGUAACAGGAGUUCGAUUCUCCUUAGUCCCG
rnacentral:tRNA from 1 species